UGUUUAUUUGAUUGUUUUUUUUUGUUUGUGCUUCUAGAGACUAGAAGACAUUUUAAAAACUCACUUAAGGUUUUAGCAAUAUUAUUUAAGAUUUUGGAAGACAUUGAGAACAAACAUUCGUAUUAAUGUAGAUUAUUUUAUACUAAAAAUAAAAUAUAUAAAAGUAUGGUAUUGCCAAUAAAAAAGUUAUAACUUGUCUUAAUUGGUCACUCUCGACAAGUAUAAAAUAAUAUAAACUAUCAUAUUAUAGUGGCAAAGAAAAAGUCUAUAAAAGCAAUAGAAUUAAACAUUAUCUAAAUGUAUUUUUAAAUAAAUGUAAACACACUUAACCUCAAAGAUGUAAUACAUAAAAUUGCAAAUAAAUAUAAUGUUAUGCAAAUGAAGCUAUAAAAACGACCCACACAGCUUCCUUAUGUAUUAUUAUUUAAAUAUAUGGUAAAUAUCUUCAUUAGUUGAUAAAAACCGCAAAUCUUAUGUAAGUGAGUAUGGUCGUGCAUUGAAUUUUAUUAAAUCACUAAUUGUUUAUAAGCGCAGGUCAAAAGCACGGCGGAUUAUGUCAUUACUAAAUGCACAUAAGACGGAUAAUAAUGGAAACGUACUGCGUAAUUAGAUUUAAAAAUAAAAAAAUCUGUAUUUUUUUUCAUAAUUAUAUCAGUAAAGAAUUGCGGCCUUGCGUUUCUAUGCAUGGAUUUUUAGGUGCAAGAUCGAUACAACUCAGGCAAUGUAUCAACAGGACUUCAAAUGUUAUAGAUACUUUUGAUUAUUGUCAGAUGUCACUUAUUAACUGUGAAAGAAAACAUUACGAGGAAACCUGGUUUAAAAAUAUUGGAAAAAUACGCCGAGCUAGCGUGGUGAUCAAUGCUUAUAUCUUCUCUAUUAGAAGAAAAGCUGUGUCCAAUAGUCGGAUAUUUAUGGGCUCGCAUUAUUCUGCAGAAAUUAUGAGAAGAGUAUAAGAGUAGAGAGUAAAAAUUAAACGACUCGUAUUCUUAAAUUAAUAACUAAUUGGAUAAUGUGUAAUACAUUUUAUAUUGAAAUACAUUAGGUUUUGAAAUUUCGUGAUUUUCUAAAAAAACAUCAAGCUGUAUAUAAAAUAAGGCGGGCGUCACACCGCGAGGGAGGUCCGUAACGCAUCAUCAACCGUCAUGAGGUACUCAUUGUUCCAACAAAUAUCAGCCAAAACCGACCUGAGUGAUUGUCGGUUUUAAUUCUAUCAUACCGUGCAUGCAUUUAUUGUUAUUUUAUAUUCAGUAAGUAUUGAAUAUAAUGGGAAAUUUCAAAUUCUGCGGUCACAUAAUAUUCUUAUUAGUAUUUACAACGUUCUUGGAGAGUAUACUCUUAUGGGAUGUUUAUCUCUCUUACUCGUCCUUUUUAGAUUGUAUUAUUUCAGUUUCUGAGUAGGACAUUUAUUGCAAGAGAAAACUGUUAAGUAAACAGUCAACAAACAUUUUCGUAUCUUAACGGCUCUAUAAAAACUGUAAUCUCAAAUCCGAAUCAAAUUUAUCGGCGUUUUGGACUAACGUGUCAUUCUCGUAGUGAACUAGGUGGUCCACUAGGGUUUUAUCUUUUCCUUAUCAAUGGGCAUCGGGCAUCGGUGGCCGAAGCGAACGUGACAUGCUUGCAACACAACGGACAGUGUUAUUGCUUUCGUCACGGAACACACGAAGGGCAGAGGGAUAUCGGCUGUUUGAUUGACACUACUUAUUUAUUCAUUCCUUCCUAUGUCCUUCGAAAGGGUUGGGUCACUUGCCCUUACUAGCAAGUCUCGAUUGUUACAGUAGAUGACCUAUUUAUGAGAUAAUGAGAUUACGAAGUGGAUUUUGUGAAACUAUUAGCAAUGAUUGAAAUAAGACCUAAAUCAUAUUUGAUUGACUCGGAAAUGGACAAUCUUAUAAGGUCAAAAAACUUUGGUAGGAUAUUUUACAACCCUAUUUUUAAAAAAAGCACUUAGUUCUUAGUUGUUUGAGACCAAAGAGACAGUACCACUUUAAUUUGUAACUUAGUCCAUCUGUAAUCUUGUAAGACCUAUACAAUCGACUUCCAACAGUAGGGGUCAGUUCAAGUCGUCCUGGACCCUUUAAACACAAAUAACACCUUCAGGGAACAAUGUUUAUGAGGUUUUCAUUGAACGGAAGUCAGAGGAGGGGGGAGGGGGGGUGAAGGGCACGAGGAUGUUUGACAUAAGUAGUGUAAAGUCUACCUUGGGACGUUCCUUAUUUGUCAGGUCAUUAACUUGUCGUAACGUGUCCCGGGCAAGAUAUUUGUCUUCGUGUUUGCGGGCAAAUAUGUUUUUGUGACUGGAAAUAACAGAAGCGUUGAACAUAGUUGCAACACUCGUUCUGAACCUCGUCGAAGGAAAAAAACUGAAUCUGAAGAAUAUGACAAUGUAAAAUAUUAAAGCCAGUAUUAAAGAGAACAUAGGUUUUGUCCUUACUUGUAUGCUUA